UCCAGCAAGUGCUAUCGUAGCCAACAUCUGGGGCAUUUGGUGGGCAAUCAGAUCGCUCAGAUGAUGAUAUUCUGAUCGAUACUUUGCGGGGAAGUGCGGUAAAGGAUACUGAAUAAACAAGUAAAUGAUGCUGGCCACAGUUUCAUGACGUCAUAGCAGG